UUCUAGAGCUAAUACAUGCGAAAAAACCCGACUUCUCGGAAGGGUUGUAUUUAUUAGAUAAAGAACCAAUAUUUUUGGUGACUCAUAAUAACUUUACGGAUCACACUAUGUGACAUAUCAUUCAAGUUUCUGACCUAUCAGCUUUAGACGGUAGGGUAUUGGCCUACCGUGGCUAUGACGGGUAACGGGGAAUUAGGGUUCGAUUCCGGAGAGGGAGCCUGAGAAACGGCUACCACAUCUAAGGAAGGCAGCAGGCGCGCAAAUUACCCAAUCCUAAUACAGGGAGGUAGUGACAAGAAAUAACAAUACAGAGCCUUACGGUUUUGUAAUUGGAAUGAGUUAAGUAUAAACCCCUUAACAAGUAUCAAUUGGAGGGCAAGUCUGGUGCCAGCAGCCGCGGUAAUUCCAGCUCCAAUAGCGUAUAUUAAAGUUGUUGCAGUUAAAAAGCUCGUAGUUAAUUUUCUGUUAAUUUUUAUAUACAAUGCUACGGUAUUUAUAUAAUAUUAACAUAAUUCAUAUUACUUUUUUAGUAUAU
rnacentral:rRNA from 1 species